UUUCUUGCAGUGUCAAAAUCCAGCCUCUCCAAAACUUUAUUCAAUUUCAAAAGAAAAACUCUCUCUCUCUCUCUCUCAAGAAACAACAGUCCUCUUUGAGUUGUUUAAACUCUCUAUUUGAAGUUUGAUUCAAAUUCUGUGUUCUACUUCUGAGGAAUGCUUGCAUAGGCUGCAGAACUGUAUAGAUGUCGCCUAUGAUAGUUUAGUUUUAUCACACCAGGUACCCUUUCUUCUGAAGAAUCUAUUGAGAGUUAUGGUGUGACAAAUAUAGAAUCAUCACAACCUAUUUAAAAUAGAUAGAUGAAUUGAGAGUUUGUUGUAUAUUUAUCGUUCUUAUGAGGACCUUUUGAAUUCACACAUUUCAUGCAUUCAAUCAGGUCAUUAAUUUUUGAAACGUGAACGUUCCCUGAUUGCAUUAUUCUAUAGUAUACUUCCUUUCCUCUCAGAAGUUUUGAAGGCCUUAAAAAAUGCUGCCUUUCUCGAAGAAGAACUUUAUGGUUUAAUAUUUGAGCAGUAGAAGUAUAUGGGCUUGCCAGGAAAGGAUCCAUCAACAGAUUUUAGAUAGACCAUUGGAUCCUUUGUUAAAUUCCUUGAUAUUGCUCUCAUCAUUUUCCACCAUCAUUGCCUUGUUAUGCUUAUGAUGCCUGCAUUUUUCUAUGGGUGAUGGUUUUAUCGUUGGAGAAUUUGCUGUUCUUUCCUAGGACCAGUAUAUCUUGUUCGUUUUGUUUUGCAACCUUAGUCAACUUAAACUUCUUUGUGGUUCCCUCAGUCUUCAAAGAAUGUUUUUCUAGCUGACAUGUGAACUUGGAUAUUAAUUUUUUAAUGAACUCAGCUGUAUUUAUGUUUGGCUUA